CAGGCAUGAGCCACCGUGCCUGACCUCUACUGACACCUUGACUGCCACCUCCUGAGAGACCUGGAGCCAAAACCACCCAGCAAAGUCACUUUUAAACUCCUGACCCACAGCAACUGUGUGCAACAGAAGGAAGUUGCUGUUUCAAGCAAUUAUAUUUUGAAAGUAAUUUGUUAUGCAGCAAGAGAUUACUGAUAGAAGCCAGCACAUCGUAGAUGGCAGUCCAGUGAGUCAGACCUGGCACGUGCCUGGGGCUCAGAAAGCAGGACUCUGCUUCCAUGAAAAGAAGUGACAUUCCUUGAUCAACAAAUUCAUUCAUUCAACAAAUAUUUCUUAAGCACAGAUCAUAUGUCAGGCACUAUGCUGAUGCUGAGGGCUGGGGACACAGGUGAAUAAACAGGACCCUGGUUUUGGGGAACUGACAGGCUCCCCAAAGUGACUUGGCAAUUGGUUGGAUGUGGGAGUUGGGAUAAGGGAGGUGUCCAGGACAAGCCUAGGUUUCUGGCUUGGGCACUUAGAAGGGUGGGUGGUGGUGUCAUGGAUUGAGAUGGACAGGGACUGGGGGGUAUCUCAUAAGGAAAUCUUGGGGCAUGUUGAUUUCAAGGUGCUUGUGAGAAACCCAGGUGACA
rnacentral:lncRNA from 10 species